rnacentral:rRNA from 1 species
GACGAACGCUGGCGGCGUGCUUAACACAUGCAAGUCGAACGGAAAGGCCCUGCUUUUGUGGGGUGCUCGAGUGGCGAACGGGUGAGUAACACGUGAGUAACCUGCCCUUUACUUUGGGAUAACUUCAGGAAACUGGGGCGAAUACCGGAUAUGAGCUCCUGCUGCAUGGUGGGGGUUGGUAAAUUUCGGCGGUUGGGGAUGGACUCGCGGCUUAUCAGCUUGUUGGUGGGGUAGUGGCGUACCAAGGCUUUGACGGGUAGCCGGCCUGAGAGGGUGACCGGCCACAUUGGGACUGAGAUACGGCCCAGACUCCUACGGGAGGAAGCAGUGGGGAAUAUUGCACAAUGGGCGGAAGCCUGAUGCAGCAACGCCGCGUGCGGGAUGACGGCCUUCGGGUUGUAAACCGCUUUCGCCUGUGACGAAGCGUGAGUGACGGUAAUGGGUAAAGAAGCACCGGCUAACUACGUG